GGGUAACGGCCCACCAAGGCGACGAUCAGUAGCCGGACUGAGAGGUUGACCGGCCACAUUGGGACUGAGAUACGGCCCAGACUCCUACGGGAGGCAGCAGUGGGGAAUAUUGGGCAAUGGACGCAAGUCUGACCCAGCAACGCCGCGUGAAGGAAGAAGGCUUUCGGGUUGUAAACUUCUUUUAACAGGGAAGAGAAGAAGACGGUACCUGUUGAAUAAGCCACGGCUAACUAC
rnacentral:rRNA from 1 species